rnacentral:tRNA from 1 species
GAUUGUUAGUAGCUAAGUGGAUAACGCGAUAACGUUUGAAGCGAAUGGUACUGGGUUCGAGUCCCAGAGUGACC